rnacentral:rRNA from 1 species
UACGGGGGGGGCAAGCGUUGUUCGGAAUUACUGGGCGUAAAGGGCGCGUAGGCGGUUCGCUAAGUUGGAUGUGAAAACUCUGGGCUCAACCCAGAGCCUGCAUCCAAAACUGGCGGGCUAGAGUUCUGGAGGGGGUAGCGGAAUUCCUGGUGUAGCGGUGAAAUGCGUAGAUAUCAGGAGGAACACCGGUGGCGAAGGCGGGUCUCUGGGCCAUAACUGACGCUGAGGAGCGAAAGCGUGGGGAGCGAACAGG